GUUAUAGCUCUUAUACCCUACAGCCUCCCCUCAGGCUUCUGAAGCCCCUUUAUAUUAAGACUUCUCUUUGAAGCGUUGAUUUAUCUGGACUCAUGCCCAUCCCUUCUGAUAGAAGACAUACCUUUGGAGUAGCUAUUCUUUGCCUGACUAUCUUCUCCCCAACCUCUAAACCACCAGCCCACCUCAAGAAGAUUCUUUCCCCAUCUACCCCCAACAGAUCCUCCUCACUCUGUAGGUGGGAACAUUAGAAUUCUGGAAGCUCAAGAUCCUAGAGUCAGACUCGGUGACCGAAGCCAUUGAAUCCCCACCGCGGCUUCCAACUGCCAUGGAAUUCUGAGUUAGGCCAACACUUCUUCUAUCCCCUCCCCCAUCUCUGCCAUGACCCAUGGAAUCUAUUUGUGACAUGUGUAUAGGUUGUCUUCUAAUUCUUCUUGGGUUGGGAAGAAGCUGCCAUUUUUAGUUAAGCAAGUGGAACCCAGAUGAUCAGCUACCCAGCCUUGUAUGCUGAAACUCUUAAUUCAGUAAAAAGGAUAAAGACUUGUUUCUUCAUCUGGAGCAACUCCUUUGAGAAAUAACAUUGUCCAGUGGAAUGAGCACUUGAGAUAGCAGUAGAAGAUUUGGAUUCAAAUCCUGCUUCCUCUACCUACUAAUUGUAUGACCUUUG